CCAGUUAGACUUUCAAUUUUCAUACUCCUAAAACAACUCAGCCUUAUCUUAAUUAAAUGGGGUCGCCUACAUGGACCCUUUUUCUCCAAUCAGUCAUAUUUAUUAAUAGUCUUAAGUUCUUCCUCUCUUAAAGUCAUUGUCUUAUUGCAUAAUGGGUAGCUUCUAUGUAAAUUACCCCUCCAUUGUAAGCCUGAGGCUGAUAUCCCAGACCAACUCAUUCUGCACAGGGCUUUCCCCAAACAUAAUUUUGUCAAUUAGUUUUCUUCUUUCUGUAUUCGCUGAAACUAGCCGAGCCAGAACAAAAAUUAGAUAAAUGAGUAAUGAGUUUUUGAAAAAAAAAAGGAAAACUUUUUAAGUAUGAACUGAUCCCAAUAUGUAUGAUGGAAUUAAAUUGAUUCCUACAUACCUGAGUAAUGGCCCCUUUUUAGUUUUCCAUACCUGAUGCUCGUCAACUGUGCUGGAUGGUUUCCAGCACCUAUGGUUUUUUGGCACAUGGUGGUGCCUAGUGGUGCCCAAACUUUGUGGUCAAACAUUUCAUUGGCCACGGUUUUUUGUUUUUGCUUUUUGCUCAUUUUUUUUUUCAUAAUUUUAAUCAAGGUACCUCUGUGUGUCGGAAUAAUGUUUUUAAAAUUUGAAAAAUUCUAUGGUGUUCGAAGAAUGAGGACAAAUGAUAAAAGAGGGGUGGGGGCAUCUAUGGUGGCCCAGGUGGUUGAGAUACCCCACCAAAUUUGAUACAUGACCCAUCCAUUGACUACCCAUCUAUGCAAUAGUUGGAAUGCAAAUGACUAGCAAAAAUUUCCAUGUGGCAGAAAUUAGUGUUGGUUCUGGAUUGCAUCUGGCACUAUUGAUGCCAGGAACUUUUUCUUCAUAAAAGAUAAACCCAAAAAUGAUUAUAUGGCAUUUCAUGAGUGAUACGGUGUAAGUUAUGAAUAUUUCUGUAUAUAUGACAAAUACACUUCGUUAUGUGUUCAUCAGAAAUUGUGGUUUGUACGCAAGUAAUUCAUGAAUAAUAUUUUUCUUUGUUUCUAGUUCAUGAAGUAUAUAAUUUGGAUUGUAAAUUUGUGAUUUAUGCCUCUACUGUUUCAACAUGAGGUGGGUCGCAAUCCCAGAUUGCCCAUGCUUGUGUUCUCUGAGUUUAUAACUGCAGGUAAAGUGAGUAGAUUCAUAUUGUAAGCAAAGUUCCAUCUGGGGGCAAAAUACCACGAAUUGUGUUUUCUUUGAAAGCAAACCGGUUUCCUUUCUUCUUCCUGUUGACCUUCACAUUCUUUCGGCAUCAGUAACCCGAUGUAUGGUUGAUAUUCAAGCAAGUUCAGAAACUUCUGAGCUGAAAUUUGUGUUUGAAACUCCCAUGGUGUUGGUGGAUUCUGAACAUGGGGUCAAUGCGUCUGCGGCAAACUUGAUCUCAUUUGAACCUUAUGCCAAGACACUCAGGUAAAUGGAGUGCCUUGAUCAAGCUGCUACACCUAUCAGAAUAUAACAAGAUGAAGAGGUUCAAGGCAUAAAUUGAGAGGUGGGGAAAUUAGAUUAGUGGUUUUAGAUUUCCGAAGAAGAUGAGAAGGUGGUGGAGAUAUUGUGUAGACUGGAGAGUGGGCUGCAAUUAGGAGUAGAAUGAAUAGAUAGCAGGGACUGUGGAUGUCAGCGGCUGAAACGAACAGAAGUGGGAGUCAUGGUGUAUGCAGUCUUCUUACGUGGGUCAGAUCACUUGCUCGUGUGAUACUAAGAUAAAACAUACUAAUUAACUUGUCGAGCCUGCAGUUGGAGCAGCACUGCUGGCCUUGAAUUUCCUCAUGAAAGAAUCAAAAGGUAGCCUCAAGAGUUAACUUUGGCCAAUUCCAACUGGUUCAGUCACUUGUACAGUCACGAGGAAAAGAGAUUGGGGAAAAAAUGUGAUUUAAGGAGAAUAUUGGAAGAGGAAAUUUAUUAACUGCUCAGAUUUAAUUAUCCCAAAGGGCUUGCACAGAAAGACUGCUGGUCUCUCUAUGGCGUCAUUGGGGUGCUCGUUUUCUUUCAUCUUUCUGGUUUUUAUUAACUUGUCAAUUAAUUAAGUGAUUCUUUUGGAGGUGUAAACUGAUAUUGGAAAGCAAUUAUAAAGUUCUAGUUGCAUAUUGAUUGCAGUUGUCUUUAA